UGUGUGUGUGUGUUCGGAUCAAUAGGGCGUGCACGUGGAGGCUGUUUUCCAGUCCUUAACCAAUCAGGACGCAGCAAUCGAGCUCAUUCUACAAACCGAAAGUUCCUUCGGGAUAUCCAAAGGAUGGUCGGCUGAUGCAGAUAUCCUUCACAAGCACAGCCGGAGCCCGAAGCGCAGGAGGUUAUUUACUGCACGACAGCAGUUGGACCGAAUCAUCCCGAGAGCGGCAAGAAAAAAAUAUCUUUCUUUGCAAAUAAAUAAACAAAAGAAGACAGCCAUGGUUCCAUGGUGGAAGAAAAGUAGGUCGGCUACCUCUGCUUCUGACGAACCAGCGGACCAUGACCACGCCCCCGCUUCGCAGACAUCCACCAAAGUGCAGACGGAGCCCCAGAAUGAAGACCCACCGCCGGCUCUGGAACGUCUGGACCUGGAACAACUGGCCGCGGUUCUGCGUGUGUAUCCGGACGCCACUGCCAGCGCCGAAGUCCUCAUCAAGCGGUCAGCGGUGAAGCACUUCCCCUCGCCGCCGCCAGGGGGCGACAGUGUGUUAACCUCGGAGCUGCUGAAGGAACACCUGAACAGCGUGAGGCGGGCCGUGCACGACGAGCUGCAACGGCUGAUCCCUCUGCGCGAGAAGAACAAGAACCUGGCCGGUCUGGUGCCGUCGUACCACCGCCUCGCGAUGGACCUCGUGCACGCCCUACUUGAGAGGAUCUUGUCGUCACAGCAGGCCUUUGUGCUUCUGGAGUGGCUCUGCAACGCUUACUUAAGUCGGGGGUUCCUGGGAGACCCGGACUUCAGUGAGAACCAAGAGAGGAGUUCCGUGGACAUGAACCUGUACUCUGAGACGGUCGUAUGCGUCAACCAAACCCUCCGGACCACACUGGAGCGGGACGUCCAGAGUUCUCUGGAUGAGAUCUUUAAGCGCCAGGAAUCAGAGUUUUGGAGGUCCUGGGAACUCCACACAGACGUCAUUAAGUGCAUCGAUGGACCGAUUGUCAGAGCGGAGUCCAUCAGUGAGAACGUGCAGAAGUUCACCCGGCAGGUCUGCUACCCCAAACUCCAGGAGUUUCUAGAGAGGUUCACAACGGCCAAACAGGAACUUCUGAAAAGAUACGAGAAAACUCCCAAGAUGACCGUGGAGACCUGCCUCAAGACACUCAACACGCUCCACAGCCUUGUGAGCUACAUCCAACCCUCUACUGAUGGAGGGACCCGGGACCUCCCAGCGGAGGAGACCCUGCGCGCACUGAGGGCAUUGGAGACCGCCGCCAGGACCUCCAUGGGACAGGCUCUCGUGAAGAUCAUCAAGGAACGCCUGAAAAGCCAUUUCAAAAGCAGAGAGGAGGAUUUUCUGCUGACGGAGAUGAAGGAGAUGUUCAGUGCUGAAGACUGUUGUCCAGACGUCCAGAAGGAGGCUCUUGACCUGGCCUAUGAGCAGGUGAGUGCCUUGUACCAGCUGAAGCUGGCCAGCACCAAGAAGAAGGAGCUGGAGAAGCGAUGGGGUCCUGAAGUGGGUCAGAAAGUGACUCAGGACGCACAACAUCUUCAUAAGACCUUCUCAGACCUGCACCCUGGUGUCAGACAACAGAACCAUGUGCUCCUGAAGGUGGAGGAGCUGAUCCAGAGCCAGGACGUGGACUCAGUGAAGCUCACCCUCUCUGAGAUGAUGCAGCUCUGCCAGUCGGAGGAAUCUAAGAAAUGGUUGCCUUCUCUGUUGAAGUUGAACAGCCUUUCUGGAGCUCAGGUACAGGAGGUCCUGGAAGCAGUUCAGGAGCCGAACACCAGAGAGACCAGAACAUUGUUCUCAUGUAUCCCCAUCUAGCGACCAGCGACACUAGUCUGACGAUGGUACCAGAUUAGAAAACUCUGCUGGCUGAAAACAAUGCAAAUGAAUUAAAUAGGUUAACGUACGCGUUAACCUAGGAUACGGUAUACUUAUCAUUUACGUUUACAUUUGGGGAAUUUAGCAGACGCUUUUAACCAUUACAUAAGUAUGUUUUGUCAGAAGAAUGUCAAACAAUAUAUCGCUGUCGUACAGUACGGUACAGUUACAGUACAGUACAGGUACAGUAUCGCCAACAAGAACUCAUGAUGCAUUCUGAUAUAUUCUGCUCUAUUGUUGUUAUUUAUUGGAUGAUUGUAAAUGAGAACAUUUACAAUCAUGUUCUCAUGAUUGUGGGGAUACAUGAGAACAUUGCUCUCAUGUAUCCCCAUCUAGCGACCAGCGACUCUAGUCUGACGAUGGUACCAGAUUAGAAAACUCUGCUGGCUGAAGACAAUAUGAAUGCAUUAAAUAGGUUAACAUACACGUUAAUAUAGGAUACAGUAUAUUUAUCAUUUGCGUUUGCAUUUGGGGAAUUAAGCAGACGCUUUUAACCAAAGCGACUUACAAUAAGUAUGUUUUGUCAGAAGAAUGUCAAACAAUAUAUCGCUGUCGCAGACGCUUUUAACCAAAGCGACUUACAAUAAGUAUGUUUUGUCAGAAGAAGGUCAAACAAUAUAUCGCUGUCGGUACAGUAAGGUACAGUUACAGUACAGUAAAGGUACAGUAUCGCCAACAAAAACUCCCAUGAUGCAUUCUGAUGUAUUCUGCUCUAU